GGUCGCGACGCUUUCUAUCCGCAGUACCUUGCGAAAGCCUCGAAACUUCUCGCAUAGCCGAUUCAUAACGGAAAGCCGAUCUAACUGCCAACGUAACAUGAAAGAGGUCUUAUAUUUCUCAAAAGAGGUUUCAAUGCAACUGUAACUGUCAUUUUAUUGAAAAACGCUCGGGCCACGAAAUUUUUAUACAAGAACAUGCUGUUAAUGUUGAAAAAGAAAUUAAUAUUAAACGGACGUGAAGGUGACUGUGGAGAGAAUACGAUGGCACACUUCCAUUCAGCUGAGAACAUCACUAGCCCUCGUGUAUCAAACAUGCUGACUCCGCCGCCAUUUUAAUUCGUAACAUAAACACGUGAAUUAAUGGAAGAAUGGCAGUCAACUGCGUGCGAGGCAACACAAUGGGUCUGUAUCAUUACAGUGUGUGAAGCCAUUCUUUGCUUCUCUGAACGAAGAACACAAUGUCCAUUGUGCGGAGGGCGGACAAAUAAGAAACGAUAUCCUACUGAGGGUAUAGUCACAUGCAAAACUGUCGUUACAACAUUUCUGUUCAUAUUGCAUUUAUCACGGAGAAUACGAAAUAUACUCGCGACGUGUGAUGUUAAUGUUGCCCUCAUUGUAAUUUAAAUGUACUCCCGACGUUUUCAGUUUGUAUCUCAUUUGGAAGCGUCUCAUACGUUCAUAUACAAUAAAUGUUAUAAGAAAAUCGCAACAAGUUUAACGCAAAUAUUGUAAUGAGUGAGCGAUUGUUCUGAAGAAUAUUAAAUUUUAAUGUAGAGUUGUGUUACAAAACUCUGUCGGGAGUAAUUUAAGCUGUUCUUUGUCUCUUAUUGAGAAGACAUCGACCGGAGAUCUUACAACGUGCCCGUUUUUGUCGACACUAAAUUAUUAGACGUUAAUAUAAUCCUAUUUCAAAA